GGCAAGGGGGUCAUCCCGACUUACCAACCCGAUGCAAACUGCGAAUACCGGAGAAUGUUAUCACGGGAGACACACGGCGGGUGCUAACGUCCGUCGUGAAGAGGGAAACAACCCAGACCGCCAGCUAAGGUCCCAAAGUCAUGGUUAAGUGGGAAACGAUGUGGGAAGGCCCAGACAGCCAGGAUGUUGGCUUAGAAGCAGCCAUCAUUUAAAGAAAGCGUAAUAGCUCACUGGUCGAGUCGGCCUGCGCGGAAGAUGUAACGGGGCUAAACCAUGCACCGAAGCUGCGGCAGCGACGCUGAUGCGUUGUUGGGUAGGGGAGCGUUCUGUAAGCCUGUGAAGGUGUGCUGUGAGGUAUGCUGGAGGUAUCAGAAGUGCGAAUGCUGACAUAAGUAACGAUAAAGCGGGUGAAAAGCCCGCUCGCCGGAAGACCAAGGGUUCCUGUCCAACGUUAAUCGGGGCAGGGUGAGUCGACCCCUAAGGCGAGGCCGAAAGGCGUAGUCGAUGGGAAACAGGUUAAUAUUCCUGUACUUGGUGUUACUGCGAAGGGGGGACGGAGAAGGCUAUGUUGGCCGGGCGACGGUUGUCCCGGUUUAAGCGUGUAGGCUGGUUUUCCAGGCAAAUCCGGAAAACUAAGGCUGAGGCGUGAUGACGAGGCACUACGGUGCUGAAGCAACAAAUGCCCUGCUUCCAGGAAAAGCCUCUAAGCAUCAGGUAACAUCAAAUCGUACCCCAAACCGACACAGGUGGUCAGGUAGAGAAUACCAAGGCGCUUGAGAGAACUCGGGUGAAGGAACUAGGCAAAAUGGUGCCGUAACUUCGGGAGAAGGCACGCUGAUAUGUAGGUGAAGUCCCUCGCGGAUGGAGCUGAAAUCAGUCGAAGAUACCAGCUGGCUGCAACUGUUUAUUAAAAACACAGCACUGUGCAAACACGAAAGUGGACGUAUACGGUGUGACGCCUGCCCGGUGCCGGAAGGUUAAUUGAUGGGGUCAGCGCAAGCGAAGCUCUUGAUCGAAGCCCCGGUAAACGGCGGCCGUAACUAUAACGGUCCUAAGGUAGCGAAAUUCCUUGUCGGGUAAGUUCCGACCUGCACGAAUGGCGUAAUGAUGGCCAGGCUGUCUCCACCCGAGACUCAGUGAAAUUGAACUCGCUGUGAAGAUGCAGUGUACCCGCGGCAAGACGGAAAGACCCCGUGAACCUUUACUAUAGCUUGACACUGAACAUUGAGCCUUGAUGUGUAGGAUAGGUGGGAGGCUUUGAAGUGUGGACGCCAGUCUGCAUGGAGCCGACCUUGAAAUACCACCCUUUAAUGUUUGAUGUUCUAACGUUGACCCGUAAUCCGGGUUGCGGACAGUGUCUGGUGGGUAGUUUGACUGGGGCGGUCUCCUCCUAAAGAGUAACGGAGGAGCACGAAGGUUGGCUAAUCCUGGUCGGACAUCAGGAGGUUAGUGCAAUGGCAUAAGCCAGCUUGACUGCGAGCGUGACGGCGCGAGCAGGUGCGAAAGCAGGUCAUAGUGAUCCGGUGGUUCUGAAUGGAAGGGCCAUCGCUCAACGGAUAAAAGGUACUCCGGGGAUAACAGGCUGAUACCGCCCAAGAGUUCAUAUCGACGGCGGUGUUUGGCACCUCGAUGUCGGCUCAUCACAUCCUGGGGCUGAAGUAGGUCCCAAGGGUAUGGCUGUUCGCCAUUUAAAGUGGUACGCGAGCUGGGUUUAGAACGUCGUGAGACAGUUCGGUCCCUAUCUGCCGUGGGCGCUGGAGAACUGAGGGGGGCUGCUCCUAGUACGAGAGGACCGGAGUGGACGCAUCACUGGUGUUCGGGUUGUCAUGCCAAUGGCACUGCCCGGUAGCUAAAUGCGGAAGAGAUAAGUGCUGAAAGCAUCUAAGCACGAAACUUGCCCCGAGAUGAGUUCUCCCUGACUCCUUGAGAGUCCUGAAGGAACGUUGAAGACGACGACGUUGAUAGGCCGGGUGUGUAAGCGCAGCGAUGCGUUGAGCUAACCGGUACUAAUGAACCGUGAGGCUUAACCUUACAAUGCCGAAGGUGUU
rnacentral:rRNA from 1 species